rnacentral:ncRNA from 1 species
CUGGACGGCUGCGGGUAUCCCUACUGUUGACUGACUCGGAAUCGUUUUUGACCAACCCGGACGCGUCCGGGUUGUCACUGACGCCUGACUCGUUACAGUGGGGGUUGAGAUAAUACCGCUCGAACCUGAACAGCGCUCAUACCUGCGUAGGGAAGCCCCCAGUGUCACAU